UCUGGAAACGGAUGGUAAUACCUCAUAACAUAACUGAACCGCAUGAUUUGGUUAUCAAAGAUUUAUCACUCUGAGAUGGGCUCGCGUCUGAUUAGAUAGUUGGUGAGGUAACGGCUCACCAAGUCGACGAUCAGUAGCCGGACUGAGAGGUUGAACGGCCACAUUGGGACUGAGACACGGCCCAGACUCCUACGGGAGGCAGCAGUGGGGAAUAUUGCACAAUGGGGGAAACCCUGAUGCAGCGAUGCCGCGUGGAGGAAGAAGGUUUUCGGAUUGUAAACUCCUGUCUUAAAGG
rnacentral:rRNA from 1 species